rnacentral:sRNA from 1 species
CACCUGUGUUGCCACCAACCAGGAUGGCAGCUUGAUCCUAACUGGCUCUGUGGACUGCCAGGCCAAGCUGGUCAGUGCCACUACUGGCAAGGUGAGUGGACCUGGAGCCCGGCUGGGUCCUCCGCUUUCCCGACUCCUCUCCUUCCUUCCUGGGUCUUCACUGUCUCCUCUCCCCACCAUCUUUCUCUCCAUCAAGCACCCGGAUUCCGGGUCCUCCUCUGAUCCUCUCUGGCUUUCAGGUGGUGGGUGUUUUUAGACCUGAGACUGUGGCCUCCCAGCCCAGCCUGGGAGAAGGGGAGGAGAGUGAGUCCAACUCGGUGGAGUCCUUGGGCUUCUGCAGUGUGUGAGUGAGGAUGGGGAGAGGGGUUUGUGGGAGGGGCCUGGGCUGGGGGCCCGGGGGGAGGGCAGGGCGUGUGAGUCCAGGCCCUCAUGAGUCUUCAUGGUACGCUUCUCUGCCCAGGAUGCCCCUGGCAGCUGUUGGCUACCUGGAUGGGACCUUGGCCAUCUAUGACCUGGCUACGCAGACUCUUAGGCAUCAGUGUCAGCACCAGUCGGGCAUCGUGCAGCUGCUGUGGGAGGCAGGCACUGCCGUGGUAUAUACCUGCAGCCUGGAUGGCAUCGUGCGCCUCUGGGAUGCCCGGACCGGCCGCCUGCUUACUGACUACCGGGGCCACACGGCCGAGAUCCUGGACUUUGCCCUCAGCAAAGAUGCCUCCCUGGUGGUGACCACGUCAGGAGACCACAAAGCGAAAGUAUUUUGUGUCCAAAGGCCUGACCGUUAAUGGCUGCAGCCCCUGCCUGUGUGUCUGGUGUUGAGGGGACGAAGGGACCCCUGCCCCUGUCUGCCAGCAGAGGCAGUAGGGCACAGAGGGAAGAGGAGGGUGGGGCCCUGGAUGACUUUCCAGCCUCUUCAACUGACUUGCUCCUCUCUCCUUUUCUUGUCUUUAGAGACCCAGCCCAGGGCCCUCCCACCCUUGCCCAGACCUGGUGGGCCCUUCAGAGGGAGGGGUGGACCUGUUUCUCUUUCACUUUCAUUUGCUGGUGUGAGCCAUGGGGUGUGUAUUUGUAUGUGGGGAGUAGGUGUUUGAGGUUCCCGUUCUUUCCCUUCCCAAGUCUCUGGGGGUGGAAAGGAGG